UAUCUCCAACACUAAUUUGAUCACUCAAACUCUGGCUGGCUUGGAUUUUGACUACAAUGCUAUAGUUGUUCAAUUAUCUGACAGAAACGACUUGACUUUGAUUGAUAUGCAAGCACAACUCCUAGCAUUUGAGA
rfam:Cajanus cajan chromosome 4, whole genome shotgun sequence.